rnacentral:rRNA from 1 species
GACGAACGCUGGCGGCGUGCCUAACACAUGCAAGUUGAGCGACGAACCAGGGCUUGCCCUGGGGCAAAGCAGCGAACGGGUGAGUAACACGUGGGUAACCUACCCCGAUAACCGGGACAACCCGAGGAAACUCGGGCUAAUACCGGAUGUGCUCACUGGACUUCGGUUCAGUGCGUAAAGGAAGCUUCGGCCUCCGUAUCGGGAGGGGCCCGCGGCCCAUUAGUUUGUUGGUGAGGUAACGGCUCACCAAGACCGCGAUGGGUAGCUGGUCUGAGAGGACGAUCAGCCACACUGGGACUGAGACACGGCCCAGACUCCUACGGGAGGCAGCAGUGGGGAAUCUUGCGCAAUGCGCGAAAGCGUGACGCAGCAACGCCGCGUGGGGGAAGAAGGCCUUCGGGUUGUAAACCCCUUUCAGGAGGGACGAAGGUUCGGCGGUGAAUAGCCGUCCGGACUGAUGGUACCUCCACAAGAAGCCCCGGCUAACUACGUG